GUGGGGAACUCUCUGAUGCUUAAGUUAGUUAGAGAAAGGACACAGUCGAGAGCCAAAAUGAGAGCUCAAAAGCUUAUAAUUUAGCAGAGUAUAGUCUAGCGUACCUGGUCCCUCGUAACUUACCGCUUUAUAUAGAGCUAGAAAAGCUAUUACUGUGUAACUACCAUCCCUAAAUACUUGAGACGUGGGACUUAUGAUAUUAAUUGCCAU
rnacentral:lncRNA from 1 species